rnacentral:lncRNA from 1 species
UCUUUCUCUGCACAAGCCAAACCCGCAAUCCAUUGCACUCCAAAUACCACGAUACCAACCACUCUACUCUUUCAUUUUUGAUUCACAACAAAACCUCAUUUGUUCCCUGCCUUGUCCGAGAGCAUCCGAGAGAGUGAGAGAGCUGCUGGAAAUUUUUGGUCCUGCCGUGAGUAGAGCAAAGCUAGGAAGGAGAAUCUGCAGGAAGCUACACCAUCUCACCUUCAUCCGCAACCCAAUUCCAGCCGCAACUCAAACCAGGACCACGUCUGAACUUGGCCGAGAGUGAGGGAAGACAUUUCUGGAAAAUUCGUGUGAGGGUUUAGCUAUUAGCUUAGGUAAUUUCUGAACUAAAUAAGUUAAUUGCUAGUGAAUGAAGCCAUAUCAGAGGUAGAUUAAGCUAACCGUGGUCUUGCAUGUGUUAAUUUGUGCCAUCGGAUGUUGAAAUCAAAGCUGUGGAAAAUUCUGUUUCGGCUAGAUGGUUCUGCCGAGGAGCUGAGCUGAUAGUGCAACUUUAUUUCUGUUUUUCUGGGACAAUCUGAGCACCCAAGUGUACUUAGCUGAAUGAAAACUGGAUGAUUAAGACCAUGCAUGUUGAUUGUGCUUUCGGAUGAUAAUGGUAAAGCUUAAGAAAAUUCUGUUUUAAGAGGAAAAUGUCUUAGCCGAGAAGAUGAUUGGAAGGGCAGCUUUAAUGUGUUUUUCUGAAGUGAUUUGAGCUGAAAUGGUGAUUAAUUAACUGGAAUUUGGAUGAUUAUUGUGAUUAGGGCCUUGCAUGAUCAUUUUAUAUAGUUGGAUGAUGAAAUCAAAUUGUUAGAAAUUCUGUUUUGUUGAGAAUGAUUCUGCCGAGAGAAUGGUUUGGAAAUGCAACUGAAAUUCUGUUUUUCUUGUGAUAACCUGAGCACUCAAGUGGAAUUAGCCGAGUAGAACUUAAUGUUUUUGAUGUCUAGGACCCUGCAUGUUAAUUCGAUGAAGUUGAUUGAUGAAUUAAGGAACCUAAGAAAUUCUGGUUUAAUGAAAACCUUCUGUCGAGACUAAUUAAGAAAUGAUUUGCUUAACUUGCUUAAAUAGGACAAGCUGUGGUUACAAUCCUAACUCUCCAAGUGAAGACAAAAUGCUUAAGGGCCUGCAUGUUGAGUUACACGAUUGGACAAUGAAACUAGGAACUUGGAAAAUAAAAUGAAAGCCAAAAAAAUUGGUUCAUGAAUGAUCAUUCGAGAAUAGUUGGUAAAAUUUCUGGAUUUGUGUUAGAUGAGUAUAAUCGUAGCUUGAACCUGGAUUUGAUUUGAAAACCUUUACUAGCUAGCUAAGUGUUUACAUGUCCUAAUAGACUACCAAAGAUUCUGUUUUAACCAAAGAAAAUCCUGUUUUAGAACCAUUGUUAUUGCCAGAAAUUUUGAGAAAGAGCCGUGAGAUUUAAACCUGGAAAUUUUGGGGUUUGUAAUCCUGGUUUAAUUUCAACUCCUGAUCUGGAAAUGUGCAUCGUUUUGCUAAGAGAUUGCAUGAGGAAGCUGAGAGUUUUAAAGCAUAUUUUAGCCCAGAAAAAUAAAAUGAUUACAGAACAUUUCUUCAUGCAUGUUCAUCCGUGGCUAAUGGACAAAAUUUCUGGAUUUUUCUGGAUGAUUUUAGUUGCCGAAUGAAUCUAGUUUUGAAGUGGACUGUUUUGCAUGAAUGAUUUGUUUCAUUGUGAAACUAAACUUGAAUUCGGAUUGAGCUUUUAUCUUACUAGUGGUUCAAAUUUUUGACUGAAUUAUGGUUGGAAGUGAAUUGUUGAAAUUUAUUUUUCCUUGAGAAAACAAUGUGUUAGAAUUGUUGACAGUGGGCUCUAUGAAUUCCCACCCUGCAUGGAUAACUGAAUUGCUGAAAUUGUUUAGAAAUCUGUGCUACUAUUUUGUGAAACUGUGAGUUGAUAUAAGUACUGAUUACCAAGUGCUAAGUAUUGACGAAGCCUUGGUAAAUUUUCCUGCUUAUGCUUAGAUAUAAAUUUGUUGGAACACAGGGCUAAGAAUUGACGAGCCCUAGUGUUAUUACUGUUUAAAUUCUAAUUGUGCAAUAUUGAGGAAAUGUGAUUUUUGGAUUGGAAUCGAAAACGUGAGAAGUCGUACCGACCUUAUGAACCCAAGUAAACGCUUGACUAAGUAAAUGGAAAAUAUUUUGCUUCAAGUUUGGAACGGUACAGAUCUAGCAUCGUACUACUAAACAUAGUAUCUACUAUUUUUGCCUUAGAAACUUGGGCAACAUGACUUUUACCCCUUAAGCUAGACUAGCCUUAUUAAUUUGGGAAAAUGUUUUCCCCGGACUCAAAACCUUAGUUUGAUUCAAAUUCCUUCCUUAUAAAUCGUUUAAGGCUAGUCGGAACUAAGGAAAUUUAAAAGGUGAAACUCGAUCCCUUUGGUUUUAAGCGUAGAAACCUGCUCGGCAAGAAAAACCUUAUUUUAGCAACAUUUUUCAAUAAACCUUACCCUAAAGCCUUAGCAAAGAUUUUUGUAGGCACAACCACUCCAAUGAACUUUUUCCAAGGUAUAUUUUUUUAGCCCUGAUAUUAAAUAUCUUGCCGACUUAUUUUAAGAAAAUAAUAAUAGUAUUUUCUUCGAAGAAAAAGUAUUCCAGGAUUGGUAUAAGAAAUAUUGUACGGUUCUCAUAAGCUCGAUUCCAAGUAAAAUAUUUUGAGAAUAAGUAAACUAGCAUCAUGCUAGAAAACUCUACAUGUACAAGCCAAAAGUUCCAAUAGAAAACUUAUGGCUUAAAUUCUGAUAUUCUAGGAUUUUACGAGGACGCAGAACUCGAUCCUCAAUCCAAUAUCUGAACUCCACUCUUGGUGAGUGUCCCUGCUUGUUCUAUGUUAUGUGGUUAAGCGCUUUAUCAAUUCGCUAUGUGAUAAUUGUCAAAAUACAAUAAAUGAUUUUGAUCCAUCGAAGUGAGCAGUGUGUACUUUAUCGCACUAGCCGUUCGAGUGGUGAUGUGUGUGAAAUAUUUUCUAUGAAUCUAAAUGUAGUUACGUUGUUGGGUGAAUCCCUCGACGCAUGAAUCUGACUACUAUGAACCUAAAUGUAGUUACGUUGUUGGGUGAAUCCCUCGACGCAUGAAUCAAACUACAAUUACGUCGUUGGGUGAAUCCCUCGACAAAUUUAUUACGGGUAUAUCUCGAGUAUACUGCGUCGGUAGAGGAAGUUUGGGCCCAAAGCAGAGGUAUGAAUGGUGACGGGUUAGGAUUAAAAUAAGUGGAUCUACAUGGACUAUAAGUAGUGAAAGUUGACGGAGGGUCAACUACGAUAGUAUCUAAUCAAGCGUGGAAAUUGGCUCCUGAGAGCCCUGUAUCCUACCCUGUGUUGUUACUCGCUUUCCUACUUGUUUAAUGCUGCAAAUUUCUACCUGUUAAAUGUUUAUUUGGAUGCAUGUUUUGGGGCACCACUGAGCUUCGGCUCAUCCCACGUUUAUUUGUUUUCCUUACAGGUUUUGAGGCUUGAGAAGUUGGAUGCUGUUUUUAUUUGGUUAUACGUGUGUUUGGACAAUGUGGUUUUUAAGAAUUGUAAAUUUCAGUUUGUAACGUGUAAUCCUGCUUGCGUACUUUCGCCUUGUGUUACCACUUGAAGCUGGAAAAUGUGUGGCUCUCGUGGUGACCUAUGGCUGGGGUAUUUUUAUGUUUCCGCUGUUUGGGUUUUUGUACGUU